UCAUGCGCAUGCGCCCGAGAAAGUCGCGUAAUGGCUGCGCCCGAGGGGUCGCUGAGGAGGCGGAAGGUCGCGGAUGCGGGCCGGAGUCCCGGGUGGCCCCCCGGUCCUGCUCCCCAUCCCGCGGGCUCCCGGGUCCAUCUGCGCACGGGCACCUUCUGGCUGACCAGGGUCGUGCUCCUGAAAGCCCUCGCUUUCAUUUACUUUGUGGCCUUCCUGGUGGCCUUCCAUCAGAACAAGGCCCUAAUUGGUGACCAGGGCCUGCUGCCCUGCAGGCUGUACCUGAGGAGUGUCCAGCAGUAUUUCCAGGGCAAGAUUGGCUGGGAUGCCUGGAGCUAUGCUCCAACUGUCAUGUGGUUGCUGGACUGGUCAGACAUGAACUUCAACCUUGACCUGCUUGCUCUUCUUGGACUGGGCCUCUCAUGCUUCGUCCUGGUGACUGGAUGUGCCAACAUGGUUCUAAUGGCUGCCCUCUGGGUCCUCUACAUGUCCUUGGUCAACGUGGGACAGGUCUGGUAUUCUUUUGGAUGGGAGUCACAGCUGCUGGAAACAGGAUUCCUGGGAAUCUUUCUAUGCCCUCUCUGGACACUGUCCCACCUCCCUGAACACACCCCCACAUCCCAGAUCGUCCUGUGGGGCUUCCGCUGGCUGAUCUUCAGGAUCAUGCUUGGAGCGGGCCUGAUCAAGAUUCGUGGGGACAAGUGUUGGCUCGACCUCACCUGCAUGGACUUCCACUAUGAGACUCAGCCAGUUCCCAACCCAAUGGCCUACUAUCUGCACAGAUCACCCUGGUGGUUCCACCGCUUCGAGACACUCAGCAACCACUUUUUGGAGCUCCUCGUGCCCUUCUUCCUGUUCCUUGGACGCCGGAUGUGCAUUCUCCACGGGGUGCUGCAGAUCCUGUUCCAGGUGAUCCUCAUCAUCAGUGGGAACCUGAGCUUCCUGAACUGGCUCACCAUUGUGCCUAGCCUCGCCUGCUUCGAUGACGCAGCUUUGGGAUUCCUGUUUCCCUCAAGACCUAGAGGCCUGAAGGACCAAGUCCUAGGGAUGCAGAGGAAAGAAGCAAGAGAGGUCAAGUCUAAGCCAAGAUAUGGCUGCAUGGUUCGGCGUGUGGUCAACUUCUCCCUGGGCAUCCUGGUGGCCUGGCUCAGCAUGCCUGUGGUUGUCAACCUGCUAAGCUCCAAGCAGGUCAUGAACACUUCCUUCAACCCACUCAGGAUCGUCAACACCUACGGAGCCUUUGGAAGCAUCACCAAGGAGCGGACUGAAGUGAUCCUGCAGGGCACAGCUAGCCCCAAUGCCAGCAUGCCUGACGCAGUGUGGGAGGACUAUGAGUUCAAGUGCAAGCCGGGUGACCCCUGGAAGCAGCCGUGCCUUAUCUCCCCUUACCACUACCGUUUGGACUGGCUUAUGUGGUUCGCAGCCUUCCAGACCUACGAGCACAACGAAUGGAUCAUCCACCUGGCGGGCAAGCUCCUGGCUAGUGAUGCUGAGACCCUAUCCAUGCUCGCCCUCAACCCCUUCGAGGGUAGGGCUCCCCCCAGGUUUUCCAGAUCCAGUGGCCAGGCCUCUCUGGUCUAGAGCUGCGUCCUUCCAGACUCUGGACAGUUUUUCUCAGACCAUCCUCCUUGCCUGAAUGCCCCAGGUGAAGAAGUAUCAGAGACCUGGCUGCUGUCUUAGGUUUGUGUCCCAGCCCCCAGGGUGGACAUUUCAGGCCUGAGUCCCUAAGUCGUCACCUGGAUGGAAGGCAGAGGCUAGGAUGAGGUCUUCUGACUUGGCCCCUGACUUGGCCCCAGACUGAGGAAACAAUCAGGAGCACCCUGUAGAAACAAAGCCUUGCCUGCAGGCAGAUGCUAUGGAAGUGAAGGCACAAACCCAACUCACCUUUUGUGUGAAUUGGCAGUGAAUUAGUAUUUCAAGAGAAAUGUGGAAAGCAGCUAAAAGCAAUAAACACAGAGCCUGCACUCUGCUGAACCUUAUGGGCUAUGCUUGGCCACAGAGCUGCGUGUGACUGGGUGUGACUCAGCCUGACCAUGGCCAGCUGUAACUUUCUAAAAUGGAUGGCGACCAGAGCUUCCACAGUGGGAAGAUGGAGCAGACACCUCCCUGCCCUGUACUGAGCCUGGGUACCAUCCAUGAAGUAAACAUAGGAACUAUGAAGAGUGGAGGGAAUACCCCAGUGAGGGACUGCUGGACACCAGCACCAACUCUAAAAUGGAGAUGGAUCCGAGGAGAACACUACCGGUACCGGUUCAGCCUUCCCAGCGGCCAGCAUGCUGCCCAGGGCAAGUGGUGGGUACGCAAGCGGAUUGGUCCCUACUUCCCCC